rnacentral:tRNA from 5 species
GCGGGAAUAGCUCAGUGGUAGAGCACAACCUUGCCAAGGUUGGGGUCGCGGGUUCGAACCCCGUUUCCCGCUCCA